UACGUAGGGACCGAGCGUUGUCCGGAAUCAUUGGGCGUAAAGAGCGUGUAGGCGGCCUUUUAAGUCCUGCGUGAAAUCCUGCGGCUCAACCGCAGACGGUCGUGGGAAACUGGAAGGCUAGAGUGCGGGAGAGGAGAGUGGAAUUCCCGGUGUAGCGGUGAAAUGCGCAGAUAUCAGGAGGAACACCAAUGGCGAAGGCAGCUCGCUGGAACGGUACUGACGCUGAGGCGCGAAAGCGUGGGGAGCGAACAGG
rnacentral:rRNA from 1 species